rnacentral:lncRNA from 1 species
CCAGUCAUACUCGGACUAUCCCCUUAUCCGAGAACUGUUCCAACCCAGUCAUAAUCGGGUCAUCCCCCACUAACCUCAAAGAGUCUACUAGUAUGGUCAUCUUUGACCAACAUAAUAAUCUAGGUGCAACUGUUCCAGCCCGGUCCUACCCGGGCUGUCCUCCUUCUAUUCCGAGUAUCGUGUGCAACAUUCUGUAUAUCUCAAUUAUUUGUCGGGUCCACUUGUGCCAGAUGCCAUAAAUGCUCCUGAUGCAACAUCAAUGUCUUUGACACACUAUUUAAUGCACCAAUAACAUGCUAUUUAAUGCACAUUUGACAUAUCAUUUAAUGCGUUGCUGACUCGCCAUCAAUGUCAUACAACAAAUCACAUGUCACGCCGUCUGCACAUUCUGCCUACCCCUAUAAUUCGAUAAGAGCGGGUCAAGCAAAGACGACCAGAGUACAUUCCUUCUACCCAUGAAAUGCUGGCCAAUGACCAUAUGUCAUCUCAUCAUUUCCUAAACUCUAUAAAUAGAAGAUGUCACAAGUGUAGUAUAAUUAAUUUCUCAUUCUCUCAUUUAUUGCUUCAACUUCUCUCUUAUUUACCACCUUUAUUUCUCUAGAAUACUCAACUAACUUGAUCGCCGAAGAACUUUUUCAAGUACCUCCCCCGACGGGUUCAGACAAUAUUCCAACCAGAUCUUCUGAUCUUUCACCUUCAAUCGGGCACUCAACAUCUACCACUCUACAUCAAUUAAUGAUUGUUCCCUCUUAGUACAAAAGAACACCCAUAAUGAGAACCGGAGACUGAAUAAGCGUUAAUCUAUGUCAGAAAAGUGGCCCAAAGUUAACAUUGAUCGGAAUAAAACUAAUAUUUAUAACUUGGAGCAAGCAACUCUUGUACUUGUUUCACUAUUUCAGAAAGCUUUUGGAUUAUGACAGCCCAAUGCCUAAUAAUGAAUUGCUAAACCUCAAAUCAGUCACACUUGAGGGCAAUAGAACAAAAACCCCUCUCUCAAGUUAUGAGAAGAACUUGCUUCCGUUGCGAUAAAUUUUACUUCAAUGGUAUAUCAGCCCCAAAACUCAAAAAGGAACUCAAUUGUGAGACCACUUUAUAAUCGUGGAUCACACCAUCAUCACCCAUAACAUUUGCUCCCCUGUAAAUUUUAAAAGUUUUUUGAUAUAAGAGAAAG